UGCUGGUGUCUACUGUGUCUCUCUCCUUCUCUAGCUAUCUUAACGUUAGCUGUUUAUUCUUUGAUUUCUCAGUCUUUCAUAGUCCCACUGAUUUUGUACCAUAACUAACGUUAGGCUUAUUCACCAGGGUUAAGAAGAAGUCAGCUGGCUGCAGGGCUUUUCACGCUCCCUUCCUCUGGAAUAACCUCCCAGGUCACGACAGUGGAGAGAAGGUUAUGUGGCUCGGGCACCACUUGGCGAUGCCUCGGCCUGCUCAGUCAUCCUCCUGGAUCCACACACCGCUCUGUCAACGCAACUUGGAAACUGUGAUUUUGUUCUUUCUGUACAAGCAACAUCUAUUGCAUGUCUGUCUGUCCUGGGAGGGGGAUCCCUCCUCUGUGGCUCUUCUUGAGGUUUCUACCAUCUUUUUUACCCUGUUUUUCCAUAAAGUUUGUCCUCACUCGAAUUUAGGGUCCAAAACCAGAAUGCUCCAGCAUAGUUCAGUGGAUUUCUUGGAGGAAAAGCAAUCCCCAUAAUUUGAUUCAAAUGUGAGAGUCCUUUUUUACGCUUCACAGCAUGACUGAGGGAUUUAACAUUCCAACUCACAAAAGUGACCUAGCAACCACCCAACCUAUUCAAGCUGUAUUCAGAUUUGGUUAAGCCAUAUUGAGUAAAGGUGGGCAUAUAGUCAGAGAUAUAGUCAUGUAUGAUGGACUGAAUCAGUUGUGCAUGUACAAAGAAGAACCCAUCCACUGAUACAUUAGUAUCACUGACAAGACUAUUAAACCCCUUGCAAAGGA